UACAGAGGGUGCAAGCGUUAAUCGGAUUUACUGGGCGUAAAGCGUGCGUAGGCGGUUCAGUAUGUCGGUCGUGAAAUCCCCGGGCUUAACCUGGGAACUGCGGCCGAAACUGCUGAGCUCGAGUGUGGUAGAGGAAGGUGGAAUUCCAGGUGUAGCGGUGAAAUGCGUAGAUAUCUGGAGGAACACCGGUGGCGAAGGCGGCACUUCUGGGACCGAUAUUGACGCUGAGGAGCGAAAGCCAGGGGAGGCCAAAGCGGG
rnacentral:rRNA from 1 species